ACUACGGGAGGCAGCAGUGGGGGAUAUUGGACAAUGGGGGGAACCCUGAUCCAGCGACGCCGCGUGAGUGAAGAAGUAUUUCGGUAUGUAAAGCUCUGUCAGCAGGGAAGAAAGAAAUGACGGUACCUGACCAAGAAGCCCCGGCUAACUACGUGCCAGCAGCCGCGGUAAUACGUAGGGGGCAAGCGUUAUCCGGAAUUACUGGGUGUAAAGGGAGCGUAGACGGUUAAGUAAGUCUGGAGUGAAAGGCCGGGGCCCAACCCCGUGACUGCUCUGGAAACUAUUGAACUUGAGUGCAGGAGAGGUAAGCGGAAUUCCUAGUGUAGCGGUGAAAUGCGUAGAUAUUAGGAGGAACACCAGUGGCGAAGGCGACUUACUGGACUGUAACUGACGUUGAGGCUCGAAAGCGUGGGGAGCAAACAGGAUUAGAUACCCCAGUAGUC
rnacentral:rRNA from 1 species